GCAGUCAUGAUUCGGCCCGGUGGUCGAUGCGGGCUUCAAACCCGUAGCUCGAGAAAUUGAGAGGGGUUCGACUCCUCCUUGACUGC
rnacentral:tRNA from 1 species